AGUGAACGCUGGCGGUAGGCCUAACACAUGCAAGUCGAACGGCAGCACAGUAAGAGCUUGCUCUUACGGGUGGCGAGUGGCGGACGGGUGAGGAAUACAUCGGAAUCUACUUUUUCGUGGGGGAUAACGUAGGGAAACUUACGCUAAUACCGCAUACGACCUACGGGUAAAAGCAGGGGAUCUUCGGACCUUGCGCGAUUGAAUGAGCCGAUGUCGGAUUAGCUAGUUGGCGGGGUAAAGGCCCACCAAGGCGACGAUCCGUAGCCGGUCUGAGAGGAUGAUCAGCCACACUGGAACUGAGACACGGUCCAGACUCCUACGGGAGGCAGCAGUGGGGAAUAUUGGACAAAGGGCGCAAGCCUGAUCCAGCCAUACCGCGUGGGUGAAGAAGGCCUUCGGGUUGUAAAGCCCUUUUGUUGGGAAAGAAAAGCAGCAGGUUAAUACCCCGCUGUUCUGACGGUACCCAAAGAAUAAGCACCGGCUAACUUCGUG
rnacentral:rRNA from 1 species